GACGAACGCUGGCGGCGUGCUUAACACAUGCAAGUCGAACGGAAAGACCCUGCUUUUGUGGGGUGCUCGAGUGGCGAACGGGUGAGUAACACGUGAGUAACCUGCCCUUGACUUUGGGAUAACUUCAGGAAACUGGGGCUAAUACCGGAUAGGAGCUCCUGCUGCAUGGUGGGGGUUGGAAAGUUUCGGCGGUUGGGGAUGGACUCGCGGCUUAUCAGCUUGUUGGUGGGGUAGUGGCUUACCAAGGCUUUGACGGGUAGCCGGCCUGAGAGGGUGACCGGCCACAUUGGGACUGAGAUACGGCCCAGAGUCCUACGGGAGGCAGCAGUGGGGAAUAUUGCACAAAGGGCGGAAGCCUGAGGGAGCAACGCCGCGUGCGGGAUGACGGCCUUCGGGUUGUAAACCGCUUUCGCCUGUGACGAAGCGUGAGUGACGGUAAUGGGUAAAGAAGAACAGGCUAACUACGUG
rnacentral:rRNA from 1 species